rnacentral:rRNA from 1 species
UACGGAGGGUGCUAGCGUUGUUCGGAAUUACUGGGCGUAAAGUGUGCGCAGGCGGCCGCGCAAGUCGAGUGUGAAAGCCCCGGGCUUAACUUGGGAAUUGCGCUCGAAACUACGUGGCUAGAGUGUGGCAGAGGGAGGUGGAAUUCCACGUGUAGCGGUGAAAUGCGUAGAGAUGUGGAGGAACACCGAUGGCGAAGGCAGCCUCCUGGGCCAACACUGACGCUCAUGCACGAAAGCGUGGGGAGCAAACAGG